UACACCCCCUCGGCCUUCGAGAACCUGUGCCCCGACCUAGUGUCCAGAACCAGAGACACGGGCCGGGCUGGCAGAGGGGCGCAGCUCAGGCCGGGUCAGGGAUGUCAGCUUUGCGGACAAUCACGGAGGCGCCAGGGCAGCCCCCCUUGACUCGCGCCUCCUUCUCAAAGCUUUCAUGGACGCCCCGUGGUUUCUCCCUCCUUGGCUUUCAGGAGGGGAAGCGCCCGAGAAGCCAGCGGCUGCCUAUAAACAGCCGGUGAGUCAGGCAGGAAGCCAGGCCUCGCCCCGCCAUUAGCAUGACGACCAAAGGAUAGAUACAACCUCCUCUGACCUGAGGAAACAUCUGAAAGCUCAUAACAAUGCUGACUCAACACACAAGGCAUAAAGAAGCUACCCCUUUCCAGGAAGGCAGUGACGGCAGGGAGUAAG